rnacentral:rRNA from 1 species
GUCCACGCCCUAAACGAUGUCUACUAGUUGUUGGGAGAGUAAAUCUCUUAGUAACGCAGCUAACGCGUGAAGUAGACCGCCUGGGGAGUACGGUCGCAAGAUUAAAACUCAAAGGAAUUGACGGGGGCCCGCACAAGCGGUGUAUUAUGUGGAUUAAUUCGAUGCAACGCGAAAACCUUACCUGGCCUUGACAUGUACCGAAUUUGUGAGAUAUCACUUAGUGCUCGAAAGAGAACGGUAACACAGGUGCUGCAUGGCUGUCGU